rnacentral:tRNA from 1 species
GGGCCUGUAGCUCACUUGGCCAGAGCGUGCCCCUGAUAAGGGCAAGGUAGUAGGUUCGACUCCUACCAGGCCCACCA